rnacentral:rRNA from 1 species
GACGAACGCUGGCGGCGUGCUUAACACAUGCAAGUCGAGCGGAAAGGCCCUGCUUUUGUGGGGUGCUCGAGUGGCGAACGGGUGAGUAACACGUGAGUAACCUGCCCUUGACUUUGGGAUAACUUCAGGAAACUGGGGCUAAUACCGGAUAGGAGCUCCUGCUGCAUGGUGGGGGUUGGAAAGUUUCGGCGGUUGGGAUGGACUCGCGGCUUAUCAGCUUGUUGGUGGGGUAGUGGCUUACCAAGGCUUUGACGGGUAGCCGGCCUGAGAGGGUGACCGGCCACAUUGGGACUGAGAUACGGCCCAGACUCCUACGGGAGGCAGCAGUGGGGAAUAUUGCACAAUGGGCGGAAGCCUGAUGCAGCAACGCCGCGUGCGGGAUGACGGCCUUCGGGUUGUAAACCGCUUUCGCCUGUGACGAAGCGUGAGUGACGGUAAUGGGUAAAGAAGCACCGGCUAACUACGUG